UACGUAGGGUGCAAGCGUUGUCCGGAAUUAUUGGGCGUAAAGAGCUCGUAGGCGGUUUGUCGCGUCUGCUGUGAAAACCCGAGGCUCAACCUCGGGCCUGCAGUGGGUACGGGCAGACUAGAGUGCGGUAGGGGAGAUUGGAAUUCCUGGUGUAGCGGUGGAAUGCGCAGAUAUCAGGAGGAACACCGGUGGCGAAGGCGGCGUUCUGGACUGCAACUGACACUGAGAAACGAAAGCCAGGGGAGCAAACGGG
rnacentral:rRNA from 1 species